rnacentral:lncRNA from 1 species
CGGGAAUCUCUGCCUCCUCCAGGGAACAGGAGAUGUUGUUUUGUUAGCCAGUCCCAGGUGGGAGAGGAUUUGCAAUUCAACACUCUGCUCUUUUUCCUGAGCCUCGUGACUUGGCCAGGCUCCUGGGUGUAAAGAGAAGCUGCCUGCCUGGGGCUCAGUGUCACCGGCCCAGCCUGGUGAGAUUAGCCGCUGCGGGCUGCAGCUCUCCCGGCGCUGGGUGAGGAGGCGGCUGGCACCCCUCAGGCCAGGCCAUGGAAGAGCAGGACGGCGCCUGCGGCUCCACCUGGGGGCCCCCACAGGGCAAGAGCCGCCCGGACUCACCUUGGUCAUGGAUUCCAAUCAUGCGAGACCCUGGAUGGAUUCGAAACGUGUGGUCGUCCAACAUUAACGUGAGUGGAAUUGCUCCGAACACCCUGAUGGUGCUUUGACGUUUCAAGAUGAGGGAACAUCCCCUUUGACACACGGGCGCGAUGCCUCGGGUCCACGUGGUCCCUGACCCAGAACUCUGCCACUGGACGGCAGCUUUCACCCGUGCCUUGUGGCCCUUCCUAAAGGUCUGAGGAGCCCCAGCUGGAGCUCAGAACCUUUGGGCUGGCUCCUGAUCUUGUCUCAGGCAUAGAUCGGAUUUUGUUACCCUCCCAAUUGGCAUUCAGUGGUGCCCUGGUGCCAAUAGGAAAAGGUUCCUAGCAAGUUCAUGAUGUUUGUUUGUCCUUGACGGGCGCUCCUAUGUAAUUACUAAAAGCCCUGGCAGGGGGCCCCAAACCCCUCAAAGCCCUCUGCACGUUCUGCCUCUUCUUCCUGCAUCCAGUGGCCCCUUUGUCCUCCAGUCUUCUGGUCACUGCCUUGUGCCUGGUCCCCAGGCCUCAGCCAGGCCUUUCAGGUUGUCUCUGUGACUCUACUUAGUGCUUUGUUCUCUGAUACUUUGGGGUGUCCCUAGACCGAGGGCCAGCACCCCCUCUCAUGUCCAUUCCAGCUUCCAGAAGCUGUUCGGGAAUCUGGCUCACUGAGCCUCUGUAGUCUGGGGGGAUAUUUUGCUGAAGGACCCUUGGCUGUGGUCCCCCUGCGUCCGAGUUCCUUUCUCACAGUGCAUCCGUCUCGCCCUCGCCUUGCCCUGGACGAGACCUUAAGCUUCGGCAGCUUCAUACAGAUCCCUCUACCCAGAGAUCUUAUACCUGAGGUCCUUUCCUGCGGAGGAGAGGCUUGAAGGAAUCCGUUUAGGAGUGGCGAGGCUCAGGAAAAGCGUUUUGGAAUAAUCCCAGGAGGAAGUGAUAAGCCCGAACGUGUCUUUGUCACGACCGUG